AUCUACGGCCAUGCCAACCUGAACAAGUCCAGUCCUUUCUGAUCUCGGAAGCUAAGCAGGGUUGGGCCUGGGGAGUACUUGGAUGGGAGACCACCUAAGAAGACCAGGUGCUGUAGGUG
rnacentral:rRNA from 1 species